GCCAGUUCCUUUUCUGGACAGUACCACAUUCUGGAUCAUUGACACUAUGAGGAAUAGCGCGAAAGUCCGUUGGCACCAGCUAUGGAUGGAACAGCUGCAAGUUGAAACCUUUAACCUACGGAACACAUAGGCUCACAGUCUGCUGGAUUCUGCCUAAGGGCACCUGAAAAUAAGGGCGAGGAGCGUAAGAUCGGAGCAGCAGCUGCCUUCGAACAGGCCUGCUCUUCCUACUUGCAGGAAGGGAAUCACCGUGCUCUUCUACAGAGGCUCCCCUCUCAGCCCCCAUACAGGC